rnacentral:lncRNA from 1 species
GAGUACACUUAUGUCGAGUAGCCAACACUAACACCAAAUCAAGUAUGAAGUAUCAUGUAUAUGCCUAAACUUAAUGGAUCAUAAACAGAUUUUAUUAAAUGUGCAAGUUUAAUUUAUGAUAUAGUGAAUUCCUCUAGUUUCAAAAUUGGAAGCGACUUAGCUACAUCCAAAGAAAACUAAUCAUUUCAAUUACUUUGCUCUCAUCCUCACUUCCACUUACUUUUUCAUUUGUCUAUUUCCUCAUCCUUGCA